rnacentral:misc_RNA from 1 species
AAGUCGUAACAAGGUUUCCGUAGGUGAACCUGCGGAAGGAUCAUUACUGAGUUAGGGUCUUCAUGGCCCGACCUCCAACCCCUCGUGUUAAGUCAAAUCAUCCACCGAUUGCCGUUUCGGGCCUCGGGGGCCCCGGGUCCCCCGUUCCCUUCCGUCAGGGAAGGCCACCGGCCCCGGGGGGGGAAGGGGUUUUUCCCCAACCUCUCUGGCCCCGUUGCCCCGCCCGGGUGGGCCCAAAACCACAAAAACUCUUGAUAAACACUGUCGUCUGAGUUACAUUUAUUUAAUUAAAAAAUAAAA